rnacentral:rRNA from 1 species
GAUGAACGCUGGCGGCGUGCCUAAUACAUGCAAGUCGAGCGAAUGGAUUGAGAGCUUGCUCUUAUGAAGUUAGCGGCGGACGGGUGAGUAACACGUGGGUAACCUGCCCAUAAGACUGGGAUAACUCCGGGAAACCGGGGCUAAUACCGGAUAACAUUUUGAACCGCAUGGUUCGAAAUUGAAAGGCGGCUUCGGCUGUCACUUAUGGAUGGACCCGCGUCGCAUUAGCUAGUUGGUGAGGUAACGGCUCACCAAGGCAACGAUGCGUAGCCGACCGGAGAGGGUGAUCGGCCACACUGGGACUGAGACACGGCCCAGACUCCUACGGGAGGCAGCAGUAGGGAAUCUUCCGCAAUGGACGAAAGUCUGACGGAGCAACGCCGCGUGAGUGAUGAAGGCUUUCGGGUCGUAAAACUCUGUUGUUAGGGAAGAACAAGUGCUAGUUGAAUAGGCUGGCACCUUGACGGUACCUAACCAGAAAGCCACGGCUAACUACGUGCCAGCCGCCGCAGUAA